rnacentral:lncRNA from 1 species
GCUCCUCACUCCUUGCAUCAAGCUCCUUCCCACCCUCACCGUCCUGCUCCUCACUCCCUGCAUCAGGCUCCUUCCCACCCUCACCGUCCUGCUCCUCACUCCCUGCAUCAAGCUCCUUCCCACCCUCACCGUCCUGCUCCUCACUCCCUGCAUCAGGCUCCUUCCCACCCUCACCGUCCUGCUCCUCACUCCCUGCAUCAGGCCCCUUCCCAUCCUCAUGCCUGCUCCUCACUCCCUGCAUCAGGCCCCUUUCCACCCUCACUGUCCUGCACCUCACUCCCUGCAUCAGGCCCCUUCCCACCCUCACGCCUGCUCCUCACUCCCUGCAUCAGGCUGCUUCCCACCCUCACGCCUGCUCCUCACUCCCUGCAUCAGGCUCCUUCCCACUCUCACUGUCCUGCUCCUCACUCCCUACAUCAGGCCGCUUCCCACCCUCAC